CCGAAACUAAACUUUUCCCCUUUAGUCAGCAUUAGGGUUUUAAACCCUAAACUGAACUUUUUCCCUUAGUUAGAGUUAGGGUUUUAAACCCGAAACUAAACUUUUCCCCUUUAGUCAGCAUUAGGGUUUUAGACCCUAAACUGAACUCUUCCCUUUAAUCAGGAUUAGGGUUUUAAACCCUAAACUGAACUUUUUCCUUUAGUCAGCAUUAGGGGUUUAAACCCUAAACUGAACUUUUCCCUUUAGAUAGCAUUAGGGUUUUAAACCCUAAACUGAACUCUUUCCUUUAGUCAACAUUAGGGUUUUAAACCUUGAACUGAUCUCUUUACUUUAGUCAGCAUUAGGGUUUUAAACCUUAAACUGAACUCUUCCCUUUAGUCAGCAUUAGGGUUUUAAACCCUAAACUGAACUUUUCCCUUUAGUCAGCAUUAGGGUUUUAAACCCUAAACUGAACUUUUUCCAUUUAGUCAGCAUUAGGGUUUUAAACCCUAAACUGAACUCUUCCCUUUAGUCAGCAUUAGGGUUUUAAACCCUAAACUGAACUCUUCCGUUUAGUCAGCAUUAGGGUUUUAAACCCUAAACUGAACUCUUUCCUUUAGACAUCAUUAGGGUUUUAAACCCUAAACUGAACUCUUCCGUUUAGUCAGCAUUAGGGUUUUAAACCCUAAACUGAACUCUUUCCCUUUAGUCAGCAUUAGGGGUUUUAAACCCUAAACUGAACUUUUUCCUUUAGUCAGCAUUAGGGUUUUAAACCCUAAACUGAACUUUUUA
rnacentral:lncRNA from 1 species